rnacentral:rRNA from 1 species
GGGUUGUGAGGUUAAGCGACUAAGCGUACACGGUGGAUGCCUAGGCAGUCAGAGGCGAUGAAGGGCGUGCUAAUCUGCGAAAAGCGUCGGCAAGGUGAUAUGAACCGUUAUACCCGACGAUACCCGAAUGGGGAAACCCAGUGUGUUUCGACACACUAUCAUGGCAUGAAUACAUAGUGUCAUGAGGCGAACCGGGGGAACUGAAACAUCUCAGUACCCCGAGGAAAAGAAAUCAACCGAGAUUCCCCCAGUAGCGGCGAGCGAACGGGGAGGAGCCCAGAACCUGAAUCAGUUUGUGUGUUAGUGGAAGCGUCUGGAAAGUCGCACGAUACAGGGUGACAGUCCCGUACACAAAAAUGCACAAGUUGUGAGUUCGAUGAGUAGGGCGGGACACGUGGUAUCCUGUCUGAACAUGGGGGGACCAUCCUCCAAGGCUAAAUACUCCUGACUGACCGAUAGUGAACCAGUACCGUGAGGGAAAGGCGAAAAGAACCCCGGCGAGGGGAGUGAAACAGAACCUGAAACCGUGUACGUACAAGCAGUGGGAGCCCUGAUUUAUCAGGGUGACUGCGUACCUUUUGUAUAAUGGGUCAGCGACUUAUAUUCUGUAGCAAGGUUAACCGUAUAGGGGAGCCGCAGGGAAACCGAGUCUUAACUGGGCGUUAAGUUGCAGGGUAUAGACCCGAAACCCGGUGAUCUAGCCAUGGGCAGGUUGAAGGUUGGGUAACACUAACUGGAGGACCGAACCGACUAAUGUUGAAAAAUUAGCGGAUGACUUGUGGCUGGGGGUGAAAGGCCAAUCAAACCGGGAGAUAGCUGGUUCUCCCCGAAAGCUAUUUAGGUAGCGCCUCGUGAAGUCAUCUUCGGGGGUAGAGCACUGUUUCGGCUAGGGGGGCCAUCCCGGCUUACCAACCCGAUGCAAACUGCGAAUACCGAAGAAUGUUAUCACGGGAGACACACGGCGGGUGCUAACGUCCGUCGUGAAGAGGGAAACAACCCAGACCGCCAGCUAAGGUCCCAAAGUCAUGGUUAAGUGGGAAACGAUGUGGGAAGGCCCAGACAGCCAGGAUGUUGGCUUAGAAGCAGCCAUCAUUUAAAGAAAGCGUAAUAGCUCACUGGUCGAGUCGGCCUGCGCGGAAGAUGUAACGGGGCUAAAACCAUGCACCGAAGCUGCGGCAGCGACGUUUAGGCGUUGUUGGGUAGGGGAGCGUUCUGUAAGCCGUUGAAGGUGGCCUGUGAGGGCUGCUGGAGGUAUCAGAAGUGCGAAUGCUGACAUAAGUAACGAUAAUGCGGGUGAAAAACCCGCACGCCGGAAGACCAAGGGUUCCUGUCCAACGUUAAUCGGGGCAGGGUGAGUCGACCCCUAAGGCGAGGCUGAAAAGCGUAGUCGAUGGGAAACAGGUUAAUAUUCCUGUACUCGGUGUUACUGCGAAGGGGGGACGGAGACGGCUAUGUCAUCCGGGCGACGGUUGUCCCGGUUUAAGCGUGCAGGUGGGUGGACCAGGCAAAUCCGGUCUGCUGUCAACACUGAGGCGUGAUGACGAGGCACUACGGUGCUGAAGUGACAGAUGCCCUGCUUCCAGGAAAAGCCUCUAAGCAUCAGGUAACAGUGAAUCGUACCCCCAAACCGACACAGGUGGUCAGGUAGAGAAUACUCAGGCGCUUGAGAGAACUCGGGUGAAGGAACUAGGCAAAAUGGUGCCGUAACUUCGGGAGAAGGCACGCUGGGCAUGGUGAAGUCCCUUGCGGACGGAGCUGGGCCCAGUCGCAGAUACCAGCUGGCUGCAACUGUUUAAUAAAAACACAGCACUGUGCAAACACGAAAGUGGACGUAUACGGUGUGACGCCUGCCCGGUGCCGGAAGGUUAAUUGAUGGGGUUAUCCGCAAGGAGAAGCUCUUGAUCGAAGCCCCGGUAAACGGCGGCCGUAACUAUAACGGUCCUAAGGUAGCGAAAUUCCUUGUCGGGUAAGUUCCGACCUGCACGAAUGGCGUAAUGAUGGCCAGGCUGUCUCCACCCGAGACUCAGUGAAAUUGAACUCGCUGUGAAGAUGCAGUGUACCCGCGGCAAGACGGAAAGACCCCGUGAACCUUUACUAUAGCUUGACACUGAACCUUGAACCUUGAUGUGUAGGAUAGGUGGGAGGCUGAGAAAUGUGGACGCCAGUCUGCAUGGAGCCGACCUUGAAAUACCACCCUUUAAUGUUUGAUGUUCUAACGUGGGCCCGUGAACCGGGUUGCGGACAGUGUCUGGUGGGUAGUUUGACUGGGGCGGUCUCCUCCCAAAGCGUAACGGAGGAGCACGAAGGUUAGCUAAUCCUGGUCGGACAUCAGGAGGUUAGUGCAAAGGCAUAAGCUAGCUUGACUGCGAGAGUGACGGCUCGAGCAGGUGCGAAAGCAGGUCUUAGUGAUCCGGUGGUUCUGAAUGGAAGGGCCAUCGCUCAACGGAUAAAAAGGUACUCCGGGGAUAACAGGCUGAUACCGCCCAAGAGUUCAUAUCGACGGCGGUGUUUGGCACCUCGAUGUCGGCUCAUCACAUCCUGGGGCUGAAGUAGGUCCCAAGGGUAUGGCUGUUCGCCAUUUAAAGUGGUACGCGAGCUGGGUUUAGAACGUCGUGAGACAGUUCGGUCCCCUAUCUGCCGUGGGCGUUGGAAGAUUGAGGGGGGGUUGCUCCUAGUACGAGAGGACCGGAGUGAACGCACCGCUGGUGUUCGGGUUGUCAUGCCAAUGGCACUGCCCGGUAGCUACGUGCGGAAGAGAUAACCGCUGAAAGCAUCUAAGCGGGAAACUUGCCCCGAGAUGAGUCUUCCCUGGGCCCUUGAGGCCCCUGAAGGGACGUUCGAGACGAGGACGUUGAUAGGCUGGGUGUGUAAGCGUAGCGAUACGUUGAGCUAACCAGUACUAAUGACCCGAGAGGCUUAACCUUACAACACCGAAGGUGUUU